AUUGAACGCUGGCGGCAUGCCUUACACAUGCAAGUCGAACGGCAGCACGGACUUCGGUCUGGUGGCGAGUGGCGAACGGGUGAGUAAUGUAUCGGAACGUACCUUUCAGUGGGGGAUAACGUAGCGAAAGUUACGCUAAUACCGCAUAUUCUGUGAGCAGGAAAGCAGGGGAUCGCAAGACCUUGCGCUGAUUGAGCGGCCGAUAUCAGAUUAGCUAGUUGGUGGGGUAAAAGCCUACCAAGGCGACGAUCUGUAGCGGGUCUGAGAGGAUGAUCCGCCACACUGGAACUGAGACACGGUCCAGACUCCUACGGGAGGCAGCAGUGGGGAAUUUUGGACAAUGGGGGCAACCCUGAUCCAGCCAUGCCGCGUGAGUGAAGAAGGCCUUCGGGUUGUAAAGCUCUUUCAGCCGGGAAGAAAUCGCAUAGGCUAAUACCCUGUGUGGAUGACGGUACCGGAAUAAGAAGCACCGGCUAACUACGUGCCAGCAGCCGCCGUAAUAC
rnacentral:rRNA from 1 species